UGAGGAACAUGACCUUCGGCGGGGGAUAGCCGGCCCAACGGCCGGGUAAUACCGCGUACGACCACAUGGGGACAUCCCUGAGUGGUGAAAGCAGCAAUGCGCCGAUGGAGUGCCUCGCGGCCUAUCAGCUAGUUGGUGAGGUAACGGCUCACCAAGGCGAUGGACGGGUAGCUGGUCUGAGAGGAUGGCCAGCCACAUCGGGACUGAGACACGGCCCAGAUCCGUACGGGG
rnacentral:rRNA from 1 species